rnacentral:rRNA from 1 species
UACGGAGGGGGCGAGCGUUGUCCGAAGUUACUGGGCGUAAAGCGCGUGUAGGCGGGUUGCCAAGUCCGCUGUGAAAGCCCGAGGCUCAACCUCGGAGGGUCGGUGGAUACUGGCAGUCUUGAAGGUGCUAGGGGGAGAUGGAAUUUCCGGUGUAGCGGUGAAAUGCGUAGAGAUCGGUAGGAACACCAGUGGCGAAGGCGGUCUCCUGGAGCAUUCUUGACGCUGAGACGCGAAAGCUGGGGGAGCGAACGGG